rnacentral:rRNA from 1 species
UAUAUUUAUCUAUAAUAAUAGGUAAUUGUAUUACUGUUUAAACUAGUUGUAAGCUAGUAUUAGUAUGAAUACUAUUACUAGGUAAAUAUUAUAGUUAGAAUUAUAUAUAGAGUGAAGAGCUUAGGUACUACUAUAGGUAUAGAGUAAAAGUAACUAAAUUUUAAUUUUAAAGUUAAUAUAUACUAAAGAUUCUAACUUUAGAAGGAUUAUAUUUAUUAACUUAAAAACUACCAUCUUUUAGAGCUUAUUAGUAAUUUAUAAUAACUUCUUAAAUUAUAUAACUUUAUAUUAGUAAUAGUCUAUUUAAAGGUUUUCCCUAUUAACUUUUAAUACUAAAGUAAUAUUUUAGUAUAGUUAUAAUAGGUAACGGAAAGUUAAAGCUUAACCCUAAAGAAGAAGCUUAAAAAAUAGCUACUAUAUUUAAGGAAAGUAGUAGGUAUAUAAAAUGUCUAAUCCUAAUAUAGAGAGAUAGUAAUAAUAAAUAUUAAUAUAAAGUUCUUUUUAGUUUUAUAAUUAGAAUAAGUAUAAUUUAAAUUCCUUAAUAAGAAAUAAUUAGAAAGUAAGUUUAAUACUAGUAACUAUAGUAAUUUUAAGUUUAAUAGUAUAUAUUAAAAUUAUUAUAGUUAAAAAGCUAAUAGUAAAAUCUUAAGUUUAACUAAGUAGUUUCCUUUAUUAUAUAUAUUAAUCUAGCUAGAUUUUUCUCUCUAUAGAAUUAUAUAUUCUUUACUAAAUAUACUAAGGAAAUAGAAUUUUUAUUUUAAAAAGAUUUUAAUAUUUCAGGUAGACUUAUACUUAAAUAUAUUAAUAUAGAAUUAUUAAUUAUAUUAAAGGUUUCUAACUAUUUAUAUUAUAUUGCCUCUCGGGGUUCUAUUUAGAUAGUUGCAUCCGAUAGUUAGCUUAUACCUUAUAAACUCUGUAGAUAAGCUGGAGCUGAGGAACUAUUUAAACGGAGGAAACCUCAGGCAGUAAACACAGUUAGUUAAUAUAAUAGCUAAUAAAUAUAGAAGGUAUGUAUCAUAAAGGGAAGAUACAGACCUAUAUCUAUUAUAGUUACUCUUUAAGGAUUGUAAUUAGUUAUUAUGUGACGUAUACUGCCAGCUAGCUAUACUUAUCACUAGCUGUUAAUAGUCGCUAGCUGUUAAUAGCUAGUAGCAGAUACCUCCAGCUAGUAGUAGUUACUAUAUUUAGUUUCACAACUGGAAGGUAUAUUAUAACUACUAGUUGCAGUUACUUAUUGCAGAAUUUAAACUUACUAUACUUACCAAAAUAGUAAAAGCUAGCUAGAUAUUAUACCACUAUAUGAAAUAGAGUAUAUUAAUAUAGAAUAAUAAAAAGAAAUAUAUAAUUUUAUUUUAUUAGUUUCUAGAAUUAUUAUAAUAAUUGAUAGGAAUAGCUAGGAAUAUUAAUAUUUAAUUAUUAAAAAUGAAAUUCUUAGAUUUAUUGAAAACUAACUACUGUAAAAAUAUUUACUAAAGAUAUUUUUAUUUAUUAGAAGUAAAAAUGAGGAAAUUAAAGAUAAUUAGAUAUUAUUAUAAUUUUAACUAUAAAUUAUACUAACUAGAAAUUAAAUAAUAUUAUUUUCAAUUUAUUUAGUAGCUAAUAAAAAAAUAAAAUACUUAGGUUUUAGAGGGAGUAUAAUUAUAAAGCUGAAACUUAAAGAAAUUAAUAGAAAAAUACUACUAAAAGUAAAUAGUAGCUAUUUAAGAUUUAAUUUAAAUACUAAACUUAUAAAAUAUCUAGUACCUAACUUUAAAUUACUAAUUACUUUAGUAGU